CGGGAACUCACCAGCUGUGUAAGUGGCCUUCACUGUGGACUAGAGCACUUCCCAGAAUCAGUGUCCAACCAAAUGUGAUGACACUGUAGCCCAAAAGAGGUGAAAUGACUUGCCCAAGGGCGUACAGUCAGAGUGGAAGAGUUCAGAUUCAGAUCCAAGCCCUUCUGAUUCAAGUGGAGGAUGAUGAAGGCUGAGAGUGACUGUAAGAAAAUACAAGAAGGAAUAAGAAGUUUUGGGAGAAGAUGGUGAGCUACUUUUAGGACAGGCCAAUUUGGGGUCCUUCUGGAAAUAGAGUUGUCCAACACUGAAUUGGUUCUACAAAUAUGAAACUCAACAGCAAGGCGCAUUCUGGAGAGGAAAACUCGGAAGUCAUCAGCCCAGUUGUUGAAGCCAUGAGAGGGAUGGUUCAUCAAGAGAGAUGGUCUAGCCUCAGAUGAAAGCAAAAGGAGAGAAAAGAUAUAUGGCCCUUUAACAAUGCAGAAAUUAUCCCAAAACUGAUGGCAUACAUAUGUACAUUACCCAUUCACCCUUGCAGCUCAGGAGUGAAUUAUGUAACACCAUCUUGACUCCUAAUAUUAAAUCAUAUGAGUGGACAUGAAAUGCCAAUUUAUACUCAGCACUAGAAAAUGCUUUUCAUGAUACGUACUUUUAAGGGAUUUAUUUUCUUUUCUUAUUGAGUUUCUAAAUCAUUUAUUUCCCUGUGGUUUAAAAAUAAAAAAUACAAUAUAUUUGGACAAGGAAUGU